CCACCCCAUUGCCACCCACCGCCCCAUUCCCGCCCCUCGGUACCACCCUCGCACUGUCCCCACAUCCCCAGACGUGGCGGUGGGUGCCCCGUACGGCGGUGACGAUGGCAGUGGGGCCGUGCUCAUCUUCCGGGGUCAGCGGGAGGGGCUCAGCCCGACCCCAUCGCAGCGCCUCAGCAGCCCCUUCCCCGGCCCUGCCGCCUUCGGCUUCGCGCUCCGUGGUGCCACCGACAUCGAUGGCAACGGGUACCCAGAUCUGCUGGUCGGUGCUUUUGGGGUCUCCAAGGUGGCCGUGUACCGGGCUCGGCCCGUGGUGGUGGCCCAGGCACAGCUGAACGUCCCCAGCGGGCUGAACCCACAGGUGACAGAGUGCGUCCUGCCGGGGAGUGACAGCAGCGUCACCUGGUGAGAGGGGACACAACUAUGGGGACACCGGUACAGGGACACCGCCAUGGGGACGCCACUGGGGCACCAUCCUGGGAACGCUGCCGUGGGGACAUUGCUUUGGGGACAGCGCCGUGGGGACAGCACGGGGACCUCGCAGGGACAGUGCCGUGGGGACGUCACUUUGGGGACAGCACCACGGGGACACCAUUGGGGCACCGUCUUAGGGACAGCGCCACAGGGACCCCGCUUUGGGGACACUGUGGGGACAUGGCCGUAGGGACACCAUUGGGGCACAAUCGGGGCACCAUCCUGGGGACGCUGCCGUGGGGACACUCUAUGGGGGCACCAUGGGGACACCGUGGGGACAUCGCUUUGUGGACACUGUGGGGACACCGUGGGGACACCAGUUUGGGGAUACUUUGGGGAUAUGGCCAUGGGGACACUGCUGUGGGGACACUCCGUGGGGGCACCAUGGGGACACGGCCACAGGGACAUCACUUUGUGGAUGCUGUGGGGACACUGUUGUGGGGACACGAUGGGGACAUUGUGGGGACAUGGGGACACCAUUGGGGCACCAUUGAGGCAUCACUGUGGGGACACUGCCAUGGGGACACCAGUUUGGGGACACCAUCACUGGGAUGCUCUAUGGGAAUGCCCUGGGGACACGGUCACGGGGACACUGCUGUGGGGACAUCAUGGGGACAGAACCGUGGGGACACUGUGGGAAUAUGGCCAUGGGGACACUGUCCUGGGGACACAUAAUGGGGGAACCAUGGGGACACAACUUUGGGGUCACCACCACUGGGAUGCUCUAUGGGGGCACCAAGGAGACACCGCCAUUGGGACAUUGUGGGGACAGAGCCAUGGGGACAUCACUUCGGGGACACCACGAGGACACCAUGGGAUGGUGACAUCGGGUGUGGGGCGGUGACACGAGCUGUGGGAUGGAGACAUGGGGUUUGGGACCGUGACCUCAGGUGUGGGAUGGUGACAUUGGUAUGGGAUCAGAUUUGGGAUGGUGACAUCGGACACCAUGAGGAACAGGGUCAUGGGGACACUGCGGGGACAGAGCCAUGGGGACACCGCUCUGGGGACACCGCCA